ensembl:lncRNA
UCCAUGCAGCCGGCAGGCAGGCUUUCCUAAGAUCCUGUGGACCCAACACUGCAUUGAUACCGUUAUAUAUUUUUAUUUAUAUAUACAUAUACAUGUACACAGCCAGGCGGGAAAGCCAUCAUCCAUCAAUUUUGGGUAACAAGGACGACCUGUUGAACACCUUGCUCUCCGACCCCCGGGAAGAUGCUGGGCUGCCGGAGCACGGAAGAGCCAGGACUGUGCCCCGAACUUCACCCGCUCGGCAGCCGCUGUUCCUAAGCCAUUUCCCCUCUCCUCCCCCGCCUCUUUGCCUCCCGGACCGAGAAUCUGCUCUUUAAAGUUGAUCUGACGGGGAAAGCAGAGACGAGCUUGUGCAUAGUUCGCAGGGCUGAAGCCAAAGAACACAGCAGCCUUUACAAGUGAUCUCUCCACCUGCAGCAAUCUGUUCCACUGCAAACAGCUCAGUUUUGGCCUUAUAUGUUGGAAGCAUGUCAACACAAUUUGUCAAUGGAAGCUUUUUGGAUGUUGCAAGUAAGGAAGUGAUCAGACGGGAUUUGGGGAUUUUGCCACUGCCAAACCAUUUUUCAUUUCCUGAUAGCUUUCUGUGGUGCAGUUCUUGAAGAUAUCUUUCCUUUCUGAGAAAACUCAGAGUGAAUGUUUAUUACAGUCGGCUAUUGAAAAAGUCUCAACUAAAGGGUCCUCUAUAUCAUGGAAUGAUAUUUCUUUCAUUUGCUGCUUACAGUCCUCAUAUAAUUUCUUUCACCAGUAGUUUUAAUAGUCCUUGUUACUUGUGCAGUUUUUCUGCCUCAGUGUGUUCUUUGUGCCCUAGCAGAAACUAACUACAGUUAGGUGAUAUGAGUUGUGUGGUGUGAAUUUUGGAAGAAGUACGAUACUGCAGAAGAAAAGGCAUCUCCGAUUUCACUAAGUUACAGAAGUCACAGAGAAGACAGGUUUAUCUUCUCUGUCCUGGAAUCUGCUCAUACCACUGCGUACAGCUCUUGCUAUGUACUGCAGCCAGCCACUCGCUUCUAGGGGCUUUGCUUUCAGCAAAGUCUGAUACACAGAGUUCUCUGAUGCUUCUUGUGUUUCAUCUUGCCUGAAAAGUUUGUAGUAAUAUGCAGGCUCAUCACUAGUCCUGAUGGAAAUGUGUGCUUCCCAUACUGUUGAAUGACAGUUUUCCCAGUGGGCUCUUUUUCUCAUUAUUAAAAUGACUUGGUUGCCUGAAGGGACCCUGACUUUGGCAUUGAUUCCUCAAAGGGGAACAUGCACUCCUUUCCCAAAUCUUCUUGGGAUCCUAGACUGUUAUAAAUCACAGCCAUGGUUGGUGCCAUCAUGCCCAGUCCUGUACAUACACAGGCCUCAUAACAGUUCUUUCCUCAGAGAGUUUACAGAUGGAAACAAAAAAAAACUGAAAAAUAUGAAUGUUUAAGUAAAAGUACCUUCUGGAUGUGUGCAGGACCCAGUCAAAAUGCUGAGGACUUAAUUCUCUGGAGAAGAAAGCACUAAAAUAUCUGUUGUUGGUUACUUUUUAGAUUUUACUUUUAGAGUGGGCCUGGUCUACUAUAUGCCAAGCAGAAACUCUGUAGCUUUUAGACCACAAUCUGGAGACUUCUCAGUGUUUGAGAUACUGAGGGUUGCAUUCCUCUUUUACCUCCAGGUACAAAUUUGCACCAUUCCUUCAGGACUAGCAUAAAUUCCUGUAGGGCACUGUGACCACCAGUAUGAUAAGCAACAUCUCUGGUACAAAGUGUAGAUGUGGGCUUCUGUUCUGCAUCUGGUGAAAGAAAGAAGUAAUAUAAAGUGAUGUUUAAGCCGGAGAGGUCUUUCAUAAACGUUUUUGUGAGUAAUAGCAACCUUCUGCCCUGCUUGAGGAGAGAGUGUACUAUAACAUUUCCUUAAGUGCAAAAAGUGCAUAAGCCUCACUUUUGAUUCUGUACCUCCAAAAUCCAGCAUGCUGCCUUCACCAGGACUUUUGAGGGCCUAACAACACAGCGGUCUUUAAUUCAGUUUUUUUGUUUUGUUUUGGCUGACCUGUCUUUUACAAACUGGAACCUAAGCUUUUAGGGCUCUCUUAGACUCUCCUUAGGCCGCAUUUUGAGAAGUUUGCCCCAAAUGUUAAAACUGCCCUUUUCCUUUUUUUACCUAUGAAAUGCAAGUAUCUUCAGUCAAGGUUUUGAAGUUUAGGUCUCUUUAUGUUCCUCCCAUAAAAGAUUACUAGAUUUAUUUUAAAGAUUUUUUUUCUCCUUCUACUCAUUUGCCCAAGCAUUCAUCAGUUAAAGAAUAGCAUGAAGUUAUUAACCAAGAGGGAAAACUGUGGUGCCUGCUGAUCUCAAUGGCUAGUCUGUGGUGUACCACAUGUUGCAAAGCACCUCUUGGUCCUGGCUAUGCUGCAUACAGCACCAGACUGCUUGAGGCCAGACCACUUGAAAGGAUGAUGCUACAGACUGGCAUAUGGUAGCAGGAAAAAAAGAGACAGUGGAAAACAAGGUAAUGUUCUGUAGGUGGUGACAAAAAGAAAGAUGUACUUGAGAGGAGUGCAUUGCUAGAAAAGUUGACUGGGAUGUCUGGGGCUGAGAUGGGCUGUAUUUGGCUGACUUGGGUUGGGAGAUUAAAUAGUGACAGAUGGUUCACAUGGUUUUCUAAUGCAGGAGAAGGCAUGAAGCACGUCUGUGUUUGUGUGAGGGAUUGCCAGAGCUUGGAGAAUUGAUUACGUGUGAGAAGCUUAACAUGUGAACGCAGUGUUUGUGUGCAAGCAUGCAGAGGCAAGAGUGUUUGUGUCAAAGGAUGGGUGUGCAAAAGCUGGUUUAGCUGUGUGUACGUGUGUACGGAAGAGGGCUGAACACAUCUAUGUGGGCUGGUAAGAUUUGUUGUGCUUUAAUUUUAUUUUUUUUUUUAAUUUAAAGCUGAUGUAACUUUCCUUACUCUAGAACUAUAAAUGCUGUAAAGACGUAUUUCCCUGCUGAAAUGUUAUUUCCUGCAAAUAAGUUCUUGAAACAUGAUUAUUUUUAAUAAAGCAUUCUGUCAUAAGACA